rnacentral:rRNA from 1 species
CCUACGGGCGGCAGCAGUGAGGAAUAUUGGUCAAUGGGCGCGAGCCUGAACCAGCCAAGUAGCGUGAAGGAUGACUGCCCUAUGGGUUGUAAACUUCUUUUAUAAAGGAAUAAAGUGAGCCACGUGUGGCUUUUUGUAUGUACCUUAUGAAUAAGGAUCGGCUAACUCCGUGCCAGCAGCCGCGGUAAUACGGAGGAUCCGAGCGUUAUCCGGAUUUAUUGGGUUUAAAGGGAGCGUAGGUGGGUUGUUAAGUCAGUUGUGAAAGUUUGCGGCUCAACCGUAAAAUUGCAGUUGAUACUGGCAGUCUUGAGUACAGUAGAGGUAGGCGGAAUUCGUGGUGUAGCGGUGAAAUGCUUAGAUAUCACGAAGAACUCCGAUUGCGAAGGCAGCCUACUGGACUGCAACUGACAUUGAUGCUCGAAAGUGUGGGUAUCAAACAGGAUUAGAUACCCUUGUAGUC